CUACUGCUCCCUCCGUUCCAAAUUAUUUGUCUUAGAUUUGUCUAGAUACGGAUAUAUCUAGCAUUAAAAUGAGUCUAGAUACAUCUGUAUCUAGACAAAUUCGAGACAAAUAAUUCGGAACGGAGGGAGUACUAC
rfam:Triticum aestivum genome assembly, contig: Triticum_aestivum_CS42_TGACv1_scaffold_592580_7BS